UUUCCGUAGGUGAACCUGCGGAAGGAUCAUUAAUGAAUAUUAGGGUGCUCUCUUCAUCAGAGAGGCCCGACCUUCAUUUCCAACACUGUGAACUUAUAAAUUUGAGACGAGUUCUAACGAACGAGUCUCUAAUCACUUUAAACUCUACAAGUUAAAGAAUGUAACAAACCUAAAACAAAAAAAACUUUCAACAACGGAUCUCUUGGCUCUCGCAUCGAUGAAGAACGCAGC
rnacentral:misc_RNA from 1 species